CAGGUAAACAUCAGCAGGUACACAUCAGCAGGUAAACAUCGGCAGGUAAACAUCGGCAGGUAAACAUCGGCAGGUACACAUCGGCAGGUAAACAUCGGCAGGUACACAUCAGCAGGUAAACAUCAGCAGGUAAACAUCAGCAGGUAAACAUCAGCAGGUACACAUCGGCAGGUAAACAUCAGCAGGUAAACAUCAGCAGGUACACAUCGGCAGGUACACAU